GCAUCUUUAGCUCAAUCGGAUAGAGCGUCGGUCUUCGAAACCGUAGGUUAUUGGUUCGACUCCAAUAAGGUGCU
rfam:Glomus irregulare strain DAOM-197198 mitochondrion, complete genome.